UGGACAGCAUCAUUAAUGUGAAAUCAAAAGUAUUCAAUUGAUUAACGAGAAGCAAAGCUACAAGCAUUCCUUACCUAUAAGAAUAAUUUGCCCCAUGUCAAGAGAGAUUAGAUGAAGAGGUCUGGUUAUAACAGAAUAUAUCAGUCUGUUGAUAAAUUACAAUAUUCUAGGAAUAGAGACACAAAAUAUCAAAAUGCUGCAGACAAGUGACUAAUCAAGUUCCAUCAAAACGGUGCACUCCUAGAAGCCCUACAAAGGGGUCGGCUAUUGACAAAUCAUGUGCUUGUGCUUCAUCCACGUGGGCAAUCAGCCCAGAUCGUGC
rnacentral:lncRNA from 1 species